AUACGUAGGUGACAAGCGUUAUCCGGAUUUACUGGGCGUAAAGGGCGUGUAGGCGGUCUUGCAAGUCAGAAGUGAAAUUCCUGAGCUCAACUCGGGCGCUGCUUCUGAAACUGCAGGACUUGAGUGCUGGAGGGGAUAGCGGAAUUCCUAGUGGAGCGGUAAAAUGCGCAGAUAUUAGGAAGAACACCGGUGGCGAAGGCGGCUAUCUGGUCAGUAGCGGACACUGAGGCGCGAAAGCGUGGGGAGCAAACAGGAUUAGAUACCCGGGUAGUCCACGCCGUAAACGAUGAAUACUAGGUGUAGGGGGUAGCGACCCCUUCUGCGCUGCAGUCAACACAAUAAGCAUUACGCCUGGGGAGUACGGCCGCAAGGUUGAAACUCAAAGGAAUUGACGGGG
rnacentral:rRNA from 1 species